CUCUAGGUGGGUCUUCCUGGGAGAAACUGAGGCCCGGGGGAGUCAGGGCCCCCCGACCCGCACCCAGGCUCCACAGGAGUUUCCAGACACACUUCGGAGGCUGUGCUUCAGUGGGGUCUCCCCACCCCCUCUUUUGAACCCUUGUCUGCAGUUCCUCCUGAACAUCUUCUAAGUAGAGCACACGUUCCCUAAGAUGGAGGGGCCACGCCCAAGCCUGGAAAACAGACAAGGCUUAACCUGCCUGAGUGGCAGCUUCCUCAUCCGUAAGGCAGAAUUGAAACAAUUCAUGGUCCCCUAAAGGACUGUGGCCUCAGGCACUGUGUCGCUGUAUCUAAGGAAGGGGAGCCGUCCUGGCAGCCUCCUCCCAUUGGAAGCUGACUUGAACCCAGGUCUUGAAUCCAGGUCUUCUGCACCCCCAACCUCUUCUGCCCACUGCCUGCCACUUGGGGAAGGACCUGGUGGAUUUUUGCUGCUUUUUGGCAUUUCUUACUAGCCAUCCGAUGGCUUUGAAUGUCUUGUUUCUGAGUGCUUAUAACAACAAUGA